AUGUCAGCAGGGUUAUCCGGUGCCUCAUCCAUUAACCACUUAGUCACUGAACCUCCCAGUUUCCCCAAGGACGAAUUUCCUGCCCAAGGAGUGAAUGGGUCUCAGCUGUUGCAUCACAGAGUGAAACGCUUCCCCCCACACACCGCUCCUUACCGGGACCCUGAUCCAAAUUACCAAAUUGUCAACUGCAAGAGAAGUGAAGGACACUGUCAAGAAUACUGUAAUUUUAUGGAAACACAAGUGGGCUACUGUUCAAAAAAGAAAGAAGCCUGCUGCUUACAUCCGUUCUGA